UUACGGCCAUAUCACGUUGAAACACCGGUUUUCGUACGAUCGCAGAACUUAAGUGACAUCGACUGUGGUCAGUACCGAGAGGGGUGAUCGCUCGUGAAUACCGGGUGCUGUAAA